UACAGAGGGGGCAAGCGUUGUUCGGAAUUACUGGGCGUAAAGGGCGCGUAGGCGGCCUGUUAAGUCGAACGUGAAAUCCCCGGGCUCAACCCGGGAACUGCGUCCGAUACUGGCAGGCUUGAAUCCGGGAGAGGGAUGCGGAAUUCCAGGUGUAGCGGUGAAAUGCGCAGAUAUCAGGAGGAACACCAAUGGCGAAGGCAGCUCGCUGGGACGUGACUGACGCUGAGACGCGAAAGCGUGGGGAGCAAACAGG
rnacentral:rRNA from 1 species